rnacentral:tRNA from 1 species
GACCGCGUAGCUCAGUUGGCAGAGCGUUGGGCUAGUAUUCCAAAGGUCGUAGGUUCGAAUCCCACCGUGGUCA